UAUAAAGGUCUGGACAUUUUGUCCUGAUGUGUGAUGUCUGCAAGAAAGUCUGCUGCAUCACAGUUUGAUUUUUGCCUUUCAUUACCCAAUCUUAUAUUUUUUACCUUUCUUCCCCCUUAGGUGUUGAUUCCUAAUAAACAACUUGUACCACAAACUUCUCGGAUCUUCUGGAGAACCCAACAAAUACAUAUCUUAUCUCUGGAAAGAGGCACUUUGGCUUACCCCUGCUUAUAAACAACAGGCAAGAGCAGUACUCAUGGUGCCCAAGACAUGGAGACAACCGAAGUGCCCUGUGAUAGAGGACUGGAUGAAGAAGAAUGGAAUACUUCCAUAAGAAAGGAUGAAAUACUGCCAUUUGCAACAACAUGGA